rnacentral:rRNA from 1 species
UGAGGAAUAUUGGUCAAUGGACGGAAGUCUGAACCAGCCAAGUAGCGUGCAGGAAGACGGCCCUAUGGGUUGUAAACUGCUUUUGUAUGGGGAUAAAGUCAAUCACGUGUGAUUGUUUGCAGGUACCAUACGAAUAAGGACCGGCUAAUUCCGUGCCAGCAGCCGCGGUAAUACGGAAGGUCCGGGCGUUAUCCGGAUUUAUUGGGUUUAAAGGGAGCGUAGGCUGGAGAUUAAGUGUGUUGUGAAAUGUAGACGCUCAACGUCUGACUUGCAGCGCAUACUGGUUUCCUUGAGUACGCACAACGUUGGCGGAAUUCGUCGUGUAGCGGUGAAAUGCUUAGAUAUGACGAAGAACUCCGAUUGCGAAGGCAGCUGACGGGAGCGCAACUGACGCUGAAGCUCGAAGGUGCGGGUAUCGAACAGGAUUAGAUACCCUGGUAGUCCGCACAGUAAACGAUGGAUGCCCGCUGUUGGUACCUGGUAUCAGCGGCUAAGCGAAAGCAUUAAGCAUCCCACCUGGGGAGUACGCCGGCACGGUG